rnacentral:rRNA from 1 species
GUGGGGAAUCUUGCGCAAUGGGCGAAAGCCUGACGCAGCCAUGCCGCGUGAAUGAUGAAGGUCUUAGGAUUGUAAAAUUCUUUCACCGGGGACGAUAAUGACGGUACCCGGAGAAGAAGCUCCGGCUAACUUCGUGCCAGCAGCCGCGGUAAUACGAAGGGGGCUAGCGUUGCUCGGAAUUACUGGGCGUAAAGGGCGCGUAGGCGGACAGCUUAGUCAGAGGUGAAAGCCCAGGGCUCAACCUUGGAAUUGCCUUUGAUACUGGCUGUCUUGAGUUUGGGAGAGGUGAGUGGAACUCCGAGUGUAGAGGUGAAAUUCGUAGAUAUUCGGAAGAACACCAGUGGCGAAGGCGACUCACUGGCCCAAUACUGACGCUGAGGCGCGAAAGCGUGGGGAGCAAACAGGAUUAGAUACCCCAGUAUCC